rnacentral:rRNA from 1 species
AACGUAGGAGGCAAGCGUUAUCCGGAAUUACUGGGCGUAAAGGGCUCGUAGGUGGCCAACUAAGUCAGACGUGAAAUCCCUCGGCUUAACCGGGGAACUGCGUCUGAUACUGGAUGGCUUGAGUUUGGGAGAGGGACGCGGAAUUCCAGGUGUAGCGGUGAAAUGCGUAGAUAUCUGGAGGAACACCGGUGGCGAAGGCGGCGUCCUGGACCAACACUGACACUGAUGAGCGAAAGCCAGGGGAGCAAACGGG